rnacentral:rRNA from 1 species
GACGAACGCUGGCGGCGUGCUUAACACAUGCAAGUCGAGCGGUAAGGCCCUUUCGGGGGUACACGAGCGGCGAACGGGUGAGUAACACGUGGGUGACCUGCCCUCAGCUCUGGGAUAAGCCUGGGAAACCGGGUCUAAUACUGGAUAUGACUCCAUGACGCAUGUUGUGGGGUGGAAAGCCUUGUGCGGCUGAGGAUGGGCCCGCGGCCUAUCAGCUUGUUGGUGGGGUGAUGGCCUACCAAGGCGACGACGGGUAGCCGGCCUGAGAGGGCGACCGGCCACACUGGGACUGAGACACGGCCCAGACUCCUACGGGAGGCAGCAGUAGGAAUUUUGGGCAAUGGGCGAAAGCCUGACCCAGCAACGCCGCGUGUGGGAUGAAGGCCCUCGGGUCGUAAACCACUGUCAGGAGGAAAAGAAAAGUCGGCCGGGUAAUAUUCGGUCGACCUGACGGUACCUCCAAAGG